UAAAUAAGUUUUAUUUUUUUAAAUAAUGUUUUAUAAGAAUUUCACUAAAAAGUUUAAUACAUUUUGUCGACUUUUUUGUUUUUAUUUUUACAGAAACUCACAAAGUUUCAAAAACCCGAACCAAAUAACAACUUUGGUAGUUAAUACGAAGCUAAAACUGGGAAAAUGUUUCACUUUAUGUAACUAUAAAACUACUGAUCACGAGAGCCAUAAUAAUAUGAUGUAAGCAGUUCCCUCUUUCAAUGGUGUUUGUUCCUUUGGUGCAUACAUCGUUGUAAACUGGAAAUUUUACUGUUGCAUUCCUCUGACAGUCAAGCUGCAGUUUACAGGCAUGUUUAUUCAGUCUGACCUUUGAACUUUGACAUAAAUCUCAGUCACAACAUAAGCAUAAAGAGCAAUAGAUAACAAAGAGGAAUAAUCUGGAUGUUAAGCCACACACACAGCUUCAUCUUCAGUGUUGCUUGACAGACUCUAAUGCAGUGUGGAGGGAUGAUGACCACUUUUCAUACACCUCUCCACAAAGCCAGUCCAAAUCCUCAAAAAGUGCUCAGCUGGAUUAAGAGCUGGUGACUCAGAUCAUUUUCAUACCCUUCAACCCAUUCAGUGACCUCCAAGCUUUGGCGUUAUGGAAAAGCCUCCUAAGUCCAGGCCUGUUCAAAAAGGUUGCCGUAUCCCCUCUGCAACUUCACGUUUUCCAUUUUGCCCAAAUAUUUGUUUGCACUUUUAUACUUGGAUCUGUAUUUCUGAGUGUACCAUUUAUAUAUUUAUAUGCAUAUAAUUCUGUGAUUUAAAGCAGGUUUUAUUACCUUAAAUUUGUGUAGCCUGUACAGGCCACCCACUGAGCAGCUUUAUUAAUUAUGCAGGAUCACUUCUGGCAUGCAGCUUUAACAGGUCUUUCUGCUUGAAUUUUAAUUUCAAACAUCUAUUAUACGGACACAGACCCCCUCCCCCCUCCUGGCCACACUGGCCAGGAGUACUGUCAUCCUUGUAGAAUCCACUCACAUCACAUCACAAUGAGAUAAACUUAUCACUCCAGAUAAUCCUGUAUUGAUUUGCAGUGAACCUUACCACUAAGGAGACAACUAGAUCCAAACCAUGUCAGCAAACUACCUCCCUUUAGCCUAGACUGAAGGGGUCAGCUUUUCCUUUUAUUCAUCAGGUAGUGGUCCGCUAUGACAGGCUGCAUACACUGUAGUUAUUUAAUGUACCUUUCAUAAAGUACUAGUAGUAAGAUCUCAUUGUGUCCAGAUUUGAACAUUGGAGGGUUCACCCUGGAACAGAAAUCAUCUUAGGUGAAAAACUGUGAUUCUGUGAUGUCACUUUGCUGAAAAAGUGUCAGAUUUUUAAUGCAAAUCCUCACUCUCAUACUCUCUUUAACAUGGAAAAAAGAAUUUGAGUGAGAAAUCAUGUGAGCACAGGCUUUAUUAACCAGUCCUGCAGGCUGAGUGCAGAACAAGAUCCUCCAAAUAAACAAACAAACAAAAAAAAUUAUCCUUAAUCAAAAUUCAUCUGACGAUCAGGUCGUUCGAGUUCAGACACAAAAACACCACAUCACCCUCAAUAAUUCCUCUCCUUUUGUCCAUUCAAACCCCUUUUUCACCUAGAAAAAAA